rnacentral:rRNA from 1 species
CCUACGGGAGGCAGCAGUGAGGAAUAUUGGUCAAUGGACGAGAGUCUGAACCAGCCAAGUAGCGUGAAGGAUGACUGCCCUAUGGGUUGUAAACUUCUUUUAUAUGGGAAUAAAAUGUUCCACGUGUGGGAUUUUGUAUGUACCAUAUGAAUAAGGCUCGGCUAACUCCGUGCCAGCAGCCGCGGUAAUACGGAGGAUCCGAGCGUUAUCCGGAUUUAUUGGGGUUAAAGGGAGCGUAGGUGGAUUGUUAAGUCAGUUGUGAAAGUUUGCGGCUCAACCGUAAAAUUGCAGUUGAGACUGGCAGUCUUGAGUACAGGAGAGGUGAGCGGAAUUCGUGGUGUAGCGGUGAAAUGCUUAGAUAUCACGAAGAACUCCGAUUGCGAAGGCAGUUCACUGGACUGCAACUGACACUGAGGCUCGAAAGUGUGGGUAUCAAACAGGAUUAGAUACCCUUGUAGUC